GACGGAGGGUGCUAGCGUUGUCCGGAUUUAUUGGGCGUAAAGAGCGUGUAGGCGGCCAGGUAGGUCCGUUGUGAAAACUCGAGGCUCAACCUCGAGACGUCGGCGGAAACCCUCUGGCUAGAGUCCGGAAGAGGAGAGUGGAAUUCCUGGUGUAGCGGUGAAAUGCGCAGAUAUCAGGAGGAACACCGGUGGCGAAGGCGGGUCUCUGGGCCGGAACUGACGCUGAGGAGCGAAAGCGUGGGGAGCAAACAGG
rnacentral:rRNA from 1 species